rnacentral:rRNA from 1 species
CGUGCUCCAGCCGCUAAACCCCCAAUUCUUAAAGGUGACC